UACAGAGGGGGCAAGCGUUGUUCGGAAUUACUGGGCGUAAAGGGCGCGUAGGCGGCCCUCUAAGUCAGACGUGAAAUCCCUCGGCUCAACCGGGGAACUGCGUCUGAGACUGGAAGGCUUGAAUUCGGGAGAGGGAUGUGGAAUUCCAGGUGUGAGACGGUGAAAUGCGUAGAUAUCUGGAGGAACACCGGUGGCGAAGGCGGCAUCCUGGACCGAUAUUGACGCUGAGGUGGCGAAAGCGUGG
rnacentral:rRNA from 1 species